rnacentral:rRNA from 1 species
GGCAGACGGGUGAGUAACACGUGAACGACCUACCCUUGAGUGGGGAAUAACACCGCGAAAGCGGUGCUAAUACCGCAUAACAUCCCUUGGCUGCAUGGCUGGGGGAUCAAAGGCGAAAGUUGCUCGAGGAGGGGUUCGCGGCUGAUUAGCUAGUUGGUGAGGUAACGGCCCAUCAAGGCAACGAUCAGUAGCCGGCCUGAGAGGGCGAACGGCCACACUGGAACUGGGACACGGUCCAGACUCCUACGGGAGGCAGCAGUGGGGAAUUUUGCGCAAUGGGCGAAAGCCUGACGCAGCAACGCCGCGUGGAGGAUGAAGGUCUUCGGAUCGUAAACUCCUGUCAGUGGGGACGAAGGCAUCGAAAGAUGUUUGACUGUACCCGUUGAGGAAGCCACGGCCAACUCCGUGCCAGCAGCCGCGGUAAUACGGAGGUGGCAAGCGUUGUUCGGAAUUACUGGGCGUAAAGGGCGCGUAGGCGGCCUUGCAAGUCGGAUGUGAAAUCCCCGAGCUUAACUCGGGAACUGCAUCCGAAACUGCGAGGCUUGAGUCCUGGAGGGGGUAGUGGAAUUCCC